UGGGGAAUAUUGGACAAUGGGCGAAAGCCUGAUCCAGCCAUGCCGCGUGUGUGAAGAAGGUCUUCGGAUAGUAAAGCACUUUAAGUUGGGAGGAAGGGCAGUAAGCGAAUACCUUGCUGUUUUGACGUUACCGACAGAAUAAGCACCGGCUAACGCUGUGCCAGCAGCCGCGGUAAUACAGAGGGUGCAAGCGUUAAUCGGAAUUACUGGGCGUAAAGCGCGCGUAGGUGGUUCGUUAAGUUGCAUGUGAAAGCCCAGGGCUCAACCUGGGAACUGCAUCCAAAACUGGCGAGCUAGAGUAGGGCAGAGGGUGGUGGAAUUUCCUGUGUAGCGGUGAAAUGCGUGGAUAUAGGAAGGAACACCAGUGGCGAAGGCGACCACCUGGGCUCGUACUGACACUGAGGUGCGAAAGCGUGGGGAGCAAACAGG
rnacentral:rRNA from 1 species